rnacentral:lncRNA from 1 species
GGAUGCUGCCAUGCUCCCACCUUGAUGAUAAUGGACUGAACCUCUGAACCUGAAAAAGUGAGGUCAAAAGGUCCAUCUGGGUUCAAGAAUCGGUUGUAUUUAAACACCUGAAACAAGAAGCUGAUGUGUAAUGUCACCCCACGCAAGCCCAUGCCAGGACAAAGAACUGGGGAUCUGAUUCCAGACUUGUCACUACUACUGAGCACAAUGGGAAGUGACUGGACUGGUUAAAGGCUUGGUUAAAGGACUAUGGAGAUGACAAAUCCCAGGCUGCCGAGGGAGCAGAGAGUACACCCGGUUACCACUCAGGGGGUUACCACUCAGGGCUGACUAAAGACUCCGUUCUUCGUUUUCCCCAUACCCCACAGCUCCCGGGAUAGUCAGCCCUGGCCCUGCUACUGACCUCAGGCUCUGUGUAGAUUUCUGGGUCCUUCUGGGGACUCAGGAAGGGAAAGAGGAGAAGGCGGUCACCACGUCGAAGAGAGAAUUCCCUCCCGUCUGCCAUAG